CUGCCUGAUGGAGGGGGAUAACUACUGGAAACGGUAGCUAAUACCGCAUAACGUCGCAAGACCAAAGAGGGGGACCUUCGGGCCUCUUGCCAUCGGAUGUGCCCAGAUGGGAUUAGCUAGUAGGUGGGGUAACGGCUCACCUAGGCGACGAUCCCUAGCUGGUCUGAGAGGAUGACCAGCCACACUGGAACUGAGACACGGUCCAGACUCCUACGGGAGGCAGCAGUGGGGAAUAUUGCACAAUGGGCGCAAGCCUGAUGCAGCCAUGC
rnacentral:rRNA from 1 species